rnacentral:rRNA from 1 species
UAUUUUCCUUGUGUGCCAGCCGCCGCGGUAAUACGGAAGGUCCGGGCGUUAUCCGGAUUUAUUGGGUUUAAAGGGAGCGUAGGCCGGAGAUUAAGCGUGUUGUGAAAUGUAGAUGCUCAACAUCUGAACUGCAGCGCGAACUGGUUUCCUUGAGUACGCACAAAGUGGGCGGAAUUCGUGGUGUAGCGGUGAAAUGCUUAGAUAUCACGAAGAACUCCGAUUGCGAAGGCAGCUCACUGGAGCGCAACUGACGCUGAAGCUCGAAAGUGCGGGUAUCGAACAGG